CCAGACAGCCAGGAUGUUGGCUUAGAAGCAGCCAUCAUUUAAAGAAAGCGUAAUAGCUCACUGGUCGAGUCGGCCUGCGCGGAAGAUGUAACGGGGCUAAACCAUGCACCGAAGCUGCGGCAGCGACGCUUAUGCGUUGUUGGGUAGGGGAGCGUUCUGUAAGCCUGUGAAGGUGUGCUGUGAGGCAUGCUGGAGGUAUCAGAAGUGCGAAUGCUGACAUAAGUAACGAUAAAGCGGGUGAAAAGCCCGCUCGCCGGAAGACCAAGGGUUCCUGUCCAACGUUAAUCGGGGCAGG
rnacentral:rRNA from 1 species